rnacentral:rRNA from 1 species
CAAUAGCGUAUAUUAAAGCUGUUGCGGUUAAAAAGCUCGUAGUUGGAUUUCUGUCAAGGACAACUGGUCCGCCCUCCGGGUGAGCACAUAGUUUGGUCUUGGCAUCUUGCUGGAAACUGUUGCUGCGCUUGGUUGUGUGGUGCAGCUUUCAGCACUUUCACUUUGAGGAAAUUGGAGUGUUUCAAGCAGGCACAUGCCUUUGGACACAGUAGCAUGGAAUAAUUAGAUUGGGCUUUUGCUCCAACUUGUUGGUUCCUGGAGCUGAGGUGAGAAUCAAUGGGGAUUGUUGGGGGCAUCCGAAUUUAGCCGUCAGAGGUGAAAUUCUUGGAUCUGCUAAAGACGGACAACUGCGAAAGCGUUUGUCCAGGAUGUUUUCAUUGA